GCCCUCAUAGCUCAACGGAUAGAGCAUCUCCCUUCUAAGGAGGAGAUGGAGGUUCGAUUCCUCCUGAGGGCG
rnacentral:tRNA from 2 species